rnacentral:rRNA from 1 species
GACGAACGCUGGCGGCGUGCUUAACACAUGCAAGUCGAACGGAAAGGCCCUGCUUGCAGGGUACUCGAGUGGCGAACGGGUGAGUAACACGUGGGUGAUCUGCCCUGCACUUCGGGAUAAGCCUGGGAAACUGGGUCUAAUACCGGAUAGGAGCCAUUUUUAGUGUGAUGGUUGGAAAGUUUUUUCGGUGUAGGAUGAGCUCGCGGCCUAUCAGCUUGUUGGUGGGGUAAUGGCCUACCAAGGCGGCGACGGGUAGCCGGCCUGGGAGGGUGGACGGCCACAUUGGGACUGGGAUACGGCCCAGACUCCUACGGGGGGCAGCAGUGGGGAAUAUUGCACAAUGGGCGCGAGCCUGAUGCAGCGACGCCGCGUGGGGGAUGACGGCCUUCGGGGUGUAAACUCCUUCCGCUAGGGACGAAGCUUUUUGUGACGGUACCUAGAUAAGAAGCACCGGCUAACUACGUG